AUUGAACGCUGGCGGAAUGCUUUACACAUGCAAGUCGAACGGCAGCACGGGAGCUUGCUCCUGGUGGCGAGUGGCGAACGGGUGAGUAAUACAUCGGAACGUGCCCAGUCGUGGGGGAUAACGCAGCGAAAGCUGUGCUAAUACCGCAUACGAUCUGUGGAUGAAGGCGGGGGACCGAAAGGCCUCGCGCGAUUGGAGCGGCCGAUGUCAGAUUAGGUAGUUGGCGGGGUAAAGGCUCACCAAGCCAACGAUCUGUAGCUGGUCUGAGAGGACGACCAGCCACACUGGGACUGAGACACGGCCCAGACUCCUACGGGAGGCAGCAGUGGGGAAUUUUGGACAAUGGGCGUAAGCCUGAUCCAGCGAUGCCGCGUGCAGGAAGAAGGCCUUCGGGUUGUAAACUGCUUUUGUACGGAGCGAAAAGGCUCUCUCUAAUACAGGGGGCUCAUGACGGUACCGUAAGAAUAAGCACCGGCUAACUACGUGCCAGCCGCCGCCGUAAAAC
rnacentral:rRNA from 1 species